AUUUUUAUUUUUAUUUUUUUAUAAAAAAAACUUGUGUUCUGUGUAGAUGCCAAGAAGCAGAUUCAGCAGUUUGCAUCCCAGACUAUAGCAAAUCGAGUCUCAUCUACUAUUCAGUCGGCUUUCAGUGUCGUGUGAAUUCAUUAUGGGAAAUGGGCAUAGGAUGGAAGAUCUGCAGGUUUUUGUGAGAGAGUUGCAAAGUGGUGGGGCACUGUACAAAUUGGCUUAUUCUUUAAACUGAUGUAUGAUAAAUAAUGGAUGUUUUUGUUCAUGAGGAAUAGUUAUUGCAGGAAUGCUUUAACAUUUAUCAUUUAAAAUCUCAUAAAUCAUGAUUUGUUAUUUAUUAAACAAAAUGCAGUGGGUGAUCAUAUUAUCACUCCCCAAAAGAUUU
rnacentral:misc_RNA from 1 species